UCUCUAUUUGUUUUCUAAUUUAGGAUGAGGCAGUGCUGUCGUUCCUGGCUGAAGUUUGUGAUCCUUGGGUGUUUAUGGCACAGAAACACCCAAAUUCCAAGCCCUGCUUUUUGCCUCAGUUGCAGAACUGCUCCAGUUAAUCCAUUUUGCUCACACUGAGUUUUGCCAUCACACUGAAAUGCUGCUGGAAGAAAAGAAGAUGAUCAACAGCAAAUCUCUCCUGCUGCAAUCCAGUCCUGUCCACUCUGCCUGGCAGAAAGGUCAGAGCUGCAGGAUGAGCCUGUUUCCAGUGGCAUUGAGGGACUUGCAUCGUUGGUCCUGCACCUCAAGAGAAAAUGGAACAGAAAUGGGAGAUCUGGCUGUAGAUUCAGCCCUUGACCUUUCAGGGCUGGCUGGAAAUGAGCAGUGCCAGAUUUGCCUGCCGUGAAUGUUUUGACAACAAUUUUACUGAUGAGAGGACCAAGUUGUUGCUGUGCUGAAAACCAACCUGCUCUGUGCAAAAAAAAACAAAACAAAGAGCUUGCUUCAAAAAUAGUUGUAUUUGUGCUGCCCAAGGUGGGUGCAUGAAGGAGAUCCUUUGAAUAAAUCCCUGCUUUAUUAUGGAACUCUGCUCCA
rnacentral:lncRNA from 1 species